rnacentral:rRNA from 1 species
GACGAACGCUGGCGGCGUGCUUAACACAUGCAAGUCGAACGAAGAGCGACGGAAUCUUGCUUCUAUCAAUCUUAGUGGCGAACGGGUGAGUAACGCGUAAUCAACCUGCCCUUCAGAGGGGGACAACAGUUGGAAACGACUGCUAAUACCGCAUACGAUCUAACCUCGGCAUCGAGGAUAGAUGAAAGGUGGCCUCUACAUGUAAGCUAUCACUGAAGGAGGGGAUUGCGUCUGAUUAGCUAGUUGGAGGGGUAACGGCCCACCAAGGCGAUGAUCAGUAGCCGGUCUGAGAGGAUGAACGGCCACAUUGGGACUGAGACACGGCCCAGACUCCUACGGGAGGCAGCAGUGGGGAAUCUUCCGCAAUGGACGAAAGUCUGACGGAGCAACGCCGCGUGAGUGAUGACGGCCUUCGGGUUGCAAAGCUCUGUUAAUCGGGACGAAAGGCCUUCUUGCGAAUAGUGAGAAGGAUUGACGGUACCGGAAUAGAAAGCCACGGCUAACUACGUG